UACGGGGGGGGCAAGCGUUGUUCGGAAUUACUGGGCGUAAAGGGCGCGUAGGCGGCCUGCUAAGUCGGAUGUGAAAUCCCUCGGCUCAACCGAGGAACUGCAUCCGAUACUGGCGGGCUUGAAUCCGGGAGAGGGAUGUGGAAUUCCAGGUGUAGCGGUGAAAUGCGUAGAUAUCUGGAGGAACACCGGUGGCGAAGGCGGCAUCCUGGACCGGUACUGACGCUGAGGUGCGAAAGCGUGGGUAGCAAACAGG
rnacentral:rRNA from 1 species